UGCAUUUAGUUUGGGAUCAAGAGUGGUGGAUCCUUUUAGAGCUUCAUUGACACCAAAAAUGGUGGAAGCCCUUGUUUGCACUUCGGAUUGGUUAAAAUCUGACCCCCCAAAUUUGUACAAAGAUCCCACUGAAGAUGACCUUGAAAUGUACCACACUUUGGAGGAACUUGAGAGGGAGAAUGCUUUUAAUCAAGGAGUGGCGGGAACAAUGACCAAUACCAGCUCUACACAGUCACAAACUACUGCCUCGCUGCCCUCGUAGUCUACAUCUUGAGCUUUCAGCUUUCUUGUUCAUUGAUUGAAAUUGCAGAAACUACCUAAAUUCUUCUUCAUUGACUGAAGUGAUGAAUGAUUGAUGAACUAUGAAGUGAUGAAUGAUUGAUGAGUUGAACUGUGAAUUAUUGAACUGUGAAUUGAUGAGAUGAACUGUGAAUUAUUGAAUUAUAAUUUGUAUGAACUAUGAAGUGAUGAAUGAUUGAUGAGA